AAGUAAGUGGUGGAAAUUAAACCAAAUGGGAUAUCUUUAGUAAUUGCGAAUGAACAAGGAUAUGCUUAGCUUGACAAAUGGAGCUAUUGGCUUUGAAUUGUAUUGUGGAAAUGUAUUACCAACAGAGGUGCAGGUGCCAGCCUAUUGAAAUAAAGCGUCAAUGAGGGUGAGAAUCCUGUUUGUCAUGUGCAGCCCUUUGUGCACGGUGUAUAUUUGCUGAGUCACACUCCUUGGCAUUGGAAUGCAAAGUGGGUGGUAAGUUUCAUGUAAAGGUAAACAUGCAAUUGAGACUGAUAGCACACAAGUACCAUGAGGGAAAUAUGAAAAGGACUUUGAAAAGAGAAUUAAAUGAGUUUGUAUUUGCUGAACACAAAGUAAACAGACUUGAUUUGCUUGGUGGGAGUGUUGCACUUGCUUGACAAGAGCUUUGGGCUGUGGGUGUAAUGAUUCUUUCUUUGCAUGCCAGUUUCUAUUUGUACAUCUGAUUACCUUUGACAUGAAUGAUAAGUCUCCUGUGGGGGGUGGAUUGCAUGUGCAUGUAAUGAUUUGUGUUUUGAUAAAUGUGUCUGGUGUAUGUGUGUGUUCCUGUGCUUGGGGAUGCUUCCUUCCUUGGACUUACAAGCCCUGACACACACAUGCUGGCAAAAUGCUUCUGCUUGACCCG
rnacentral:rRNA from 1 species